GAUGAACGCUGGCGGCGUGCCUAAUACAUGCAAGUCGAGCGAACAGAUAAGGAGCUUGCUCCUUUGACGUUAGCGGCGGACGGGUGAGUAACACGUGGGUAACCUACCUAUAAGACUGGGAUAACUUCGGGAAACCGGAGCUAAUACCGGAUAACAUUUGGAACCGCAUGGUUCUAAAGUGAAAGAUGGUUUUGCUAUCACUUAUAGAUGGACCCGCGCCGUAUUAGCUAGUUGGUAAGGUAACGGCUUACCAAGGCAACGAUACGUAGCCGACCUGAGAGGGUGAUCGGCCACACUGGAACUGAGACACGGUCCAGACUCCUACGGGAGGCAGCAGUAGGGAAUCUUCCGCAAUGGGCGAAAGCCUGACGGAGCAACGCCGCGUGAGAGAUGAAGGGUUUCGGCUCGUAAAACUCUGUUAUUAGGGAAGAACAAACGUGUAAGUAACUGUGCACGUCUUGACGGUACCUAAUCAGAAAGCCACGGCUAACUACGUG
rnacentral:rRNA from 1 species